rnacentral:lncRNA from 1 species
AAGAAAACUAUGGUCAAUUGAGGCUUGUGUUAGAAGUUGUACAAUUUUGUUUCUUGCCAUCACUCAUUCUUACUGUGAUGGUUAAAUAUUUUACUUCCAGUUUCUGCUUGAAAUAAUUAGGCGCUACUCAUCAAGCAAUUGUAGUUACUGUGGAUGAAGCAUGUUGUUUGUACAUUUGGGUUUCAAAUAGAAAAUUAUUUUUUCUUUCUAAAUUCUAGGUUGAAUUUUCAAAACCAAACAACUCGUAGAUGCAUAUGUGAAUAAGUAUGUUUUGCGACCUUCACAUGCAAGCUUAUUUGAGAAGUGCAUUUUUUGUGCACUUAUUUAAUGCACAAACAUGAUUAAAUCACGAGAUAAAUAUUUAGAUUGUGGCUUAAAUUUGUUUAAUUGUUGGAUUGUAGGGUAUAGUGAAGGACAUGGUGGAAUUCACGAGAAAAAGAAGCAAAGAGGACCAAAACGAAACAAAAUAAAAGUUCAGAGACCAAUAUACAAAUAUCCAAAAGAUGAACCAAUGGAGCAAUAAAACAUUCGAUCGAGCCAAGUACCAAUUGGAGGUUAACAUUAAUAGAUGGAAUGAAAAGAAGGAAGAAACGAGGCCAAGAAUGUGGAAAAAAAAAAGUUUAAGGACCAAAAUCAACGUUCGGAAAAGAGGAACCUUUGCGGUUGCAUAGGUUAUACCUAUGUGAUCGCAUAGGAACCUCUCGAACACUAAAGGGCCAAUUUUUGUUAGCCUAUGC